rnacentral:rRNA from 1 species
UACGUAGGGUCCGAGCGUUGUCCGGAAUUACUGGGCGUAAAGAGCUCGUAGGUGGUUUGUCGCGUUGUCCGUGAAAACUCACAGCUCAACUGUGGGCGUGCGGGCGAUACGGGCAGACUGGAGUACUGCAGGGGAGACUGGAAUUCCCGGUGUAGCGGUGAAAUGCGCAGAUAUCGGGAGGAACACCGGUGGCGAAGGCGGGUCUCUGGGCCGGAUAUUGGACGCUGAGGAGCGAAAGCGUGGGGAGCAAACAGG